rnacentral:rRNA from 1 species
GUCUUGACCAAAUUACGUGCCAGCAGUCGCGGUAACACGUAGAAGACUAGUGUUAUUCAUCUUUAUUAGGUUUAAAGGGUACCUAGACGGAAAAUCAAGCCAUAAUAGGGACUAAUUUUCUAGAGUUUUAUGAGAGAAGGGGUGAAUUUCCGGAGGAAAGUUGAUAUUUAGUGAUACUGGAAGGACGGGUAACGGCGAAGGCAACCUUGUAUGUAAAAACUGACGUUGAGGGACGAAGCCUUGGGUAACGAGAAGGAUUAGAUACCCUAGUAGUCCUUGGAGACAAUUAUGAAUGUCAUAGGCUAGAUAAUUUAGCCUAUAAAUGAAAGUGUAAGCAUUCCACCUCAUGAGUAAAGCGGCAACGCCCAAAUUGAAAUCAUUAGACCGUUUCUGAAACCAGUAGUGAAGUAUGUUAUUUAAUUCGAUGAUCCGCGAAUAACCUUACCACAAUAUGCAUUGAAUAUUAUUCAAUUAUUACAAGCGCUGCACGGCUGUCUUCAGUUAAUGUCGUGAGAUUUUGGUUCGUUCCUUUAAUUAACGAAAACCCUUGCUUUAUUUGUUUUUAUAAAGUAGUUCACCGUGAUAUUGGAUGAGAUAAUAGGGACUAAGACAAGUCAUCAUGGC